AGCAGGCAGAGUCAGGAGGAGAGAAACUAAGACCUGAUGAUACAACUGGAGCCCUGCAUCGAACAGUGACCUCUGGACUUUCCCAAGCAAAGGGAAGAAGAGCCAGUCAAAUGACGGAGAAAGAAGGAAGCACUCCUGAGGACCUACUGUGUGCUGAACAGCAGACCACAACAGACCCUGCCUGGACAACUACUCCUUGAUCCUUUCCGGAUGGCACCUUUGUAUUUCCUCCUUGGAGAAGUCCUUGUUUGUGAUGGCCGCACCCCCAGCUGGCAAAUGUGUGUGGCUCUCCUCUGGCCCAUCUGAGGUCAAGGUGGGAUAAAGGGAGGCCUGUGCUCACAGCCAAGCUUCCACCCCACCCCGGAACUACUUGAGAGGUAUGCUUCAGGGAGAGGGACAAUGAUGUGUGGCCCUUCCCUCUGCCAGCAGCUCUUCCCAUCCGGCUGUGGAUUAAAGGAGCCUGGGUCACUGCCCAGGCAGAAUAAAGCCUGCAAACAUCCUGAGGAUGUGCCCCUCCUUGGCAGGAAAACAGUAGAGAGGGUGAGGGUGAGGGCUUGGGUCUCCCUGAGCUUCACCCUACCUGAGCCUGUGCACACACCCGUGCACACACAUCACAGUCACGUCCCCUGAGCUCAGGAACCAGCUCUGCCACUUGCCAGCUGUGUGGCCAGUGCACAUCACUUCUCUUGGCCACCUUCAGGAAAGGGUACACAUCACAUCCCCCAACCUGUCAAAUGGGGCUGCCAGUAACACCCAUCUCGGGAAUAAAGGAGCUCAGGUAUGCCAGGUGUUUGCACAGUGCUUGGAUACAACAGGUGCUCAAUACUCUGUUAUCAUAGCAGAAAUCUCUAACAGUCACACUGCCAUCUCCUGAGCAAGACUCCUCUGACCCUUCCAACAGGGCAGAUCCCAGCUUGAUAAGCCCACAGCCCAUCUGCUUCUCCUUCCCAGCUCUUCACAAUGACUUACAUUCUUUCUCUGGAGAUAGUGACCUCUGCAAGGGCAGCGAUCAGGACUGUUUAGAGCACUGCAGUAUACCCAGGGGACAGAAUCAUUCUUGAUACAUAAUCAUAAAUAU
rnacentral:lncRNA from 1 species